AGGGUGAGAGGGUUGAAUGGGUCAUGGUGAGAGAGGCUGAGGCUCGCACCGCUGGAGAAGGUCCAGGAGAGGCUGUCGGUGAAGGAGCAACGUAGUUACAGUGAACACCCAGCAUUUUGGAGAAUCCAGUACCAUCUCAUGGCCACCAAGGACAGCUGCAGCUGUGUGGUGGAGCUGAUCUGAGCCUAUGAGACAAGCUGUGUGUGCUGUGAAUGGCAGAACCAGAUAUGUGUGGAUCUUCAAGCCCUUUGGAGCUCAGAAAAUCAAGAGUGAAUCCCAGGCAGCGAACACCAAUGGAGUUCACAUUGCUGGAGCUUGGUUUUGCAUUGAUUUGAUUGUGGGUGUGCCCUGAUUCUUCUCCUGGCACAAGAAGACGUCUGGUCUCCAGCUGUGUGAGAGAAGAAGCAAGAAUGCUACACAACUCCAGGUGUGUGGGAGCUUGUCACAGCAGCUCUAGGAACUGAAUACACUCUAAAACCGAGCUGUCUUCCUCUAGUUAAUUGAAGAAGAAAUUCACUGUUCCAUACAGGAAGUCACCAGGAAAGUUAAAAACAAAACAAAGCAACAACAACAAAAACACAACAUAUGUAAGUUUUGAUGUGGAUAAGAAAAAUACUUUAAAUCUAGCUGAAUUUGUGAAUUCCUGAGAUCAUAAUGGAUAAAAGCAUAAUAGAUAGCAUUGCUUCAAGAACAAAAGAAAGACAAAGCUCAGCCAUGUGACCCAGGGUCUGUCAAGAGCUUACUUAGUCCCUGGGCAAGCGCUAUCUGACUCACACAUCCCCCAGAGCUGUGCCAUAUGAUAUGUGUGAUGCGGGCAUGUAAGGAAGAUUAUGCAAAUCAGAAAUCUGCAGAAGAUUUCCAAAAGCAGCUGCCAAGGUGAGGAAGAAGGGUUUCAUGGAGGAGCAGCUUUUCAGACUAUGUGAGACUACCUUGUGCUAAGACGCCAAGGAGCACAAAAUGUCCUCAAAAGCCCCGGCUUUAAAUCAUUCAAAGGCUGUGAAAACCGAUUGUUUGUAAUAAGUCUAUUACAAACUUAAAAGCAGCGUGAUCAGAGAAUUGCAAGUGCUGAGCCUCAUAUCUCCCGGAGGAGCAAUAACCCUGUGUUCACUAAAUUAGUAUGUGUGGUGACCUUUUGGAGCUUAAAUACAGCAUGUACCAAGAGGCGA